CCUACGGGAGGCUGCAGUGAGGAAUAUUGGUCAAUGGACGAGAGUCUGAACCAGCCAAGUAGCGUGAAGGAUGACUGCCCUAUGGGUUGUAAACUUCUUUUAUAUGGGAAUAAAAUGUUCCACGUGUGGGAUUUUGUAUGUACCAUAUGAAUAAGGAUCGGCUAACUCCGUGCCAGCAGCCGCGGUAAUACGGAGGAUCCGAGCUUUAUCCGGAUUUAUUGGGUUUAAAGGGAGCGUAGGUGGAGUGUUAAGUCAGUUGUGAAAGUUUGCGGCUCAACCGUAAAAUUGCAGUUGAAACUGGCAGUCUUGAGUACAGUAGAGGUGGGCGGAAUUCGUGGUGUAGCGGUGAAAUGCUUAGAUAUCACGAAGAACUCCGAUUGCGAAGGCAGUUCACUGGACUGCAACUGACACUGAGGCUCGAAAGUGUGGGUAUCAAACAGGAUUAGAUACCCCAGUAGUC
rnacentral:rRNA from 1 species